UUUAUUUUAAGUAUCUGUGUGUUUGUAUCUCACACCAUCCCACAUGGAUGUCAUCCCAUAAUCGUCCGAUUUAUCGGCCAAGCGGGACCCCUCCUCCCCCCACAGGCCAGGGUCUGGGUGGGCAGGACCUGGUCUGACUCACAGCACUUGUCAAUGAUGGAUAAGGAUGCAGUGAAGAAACGCAUCAAACGAUGGAUAAGGAUGCAGUGAAGAAACGCAUCAAACGAUGGAUAAGGAUGCAGUGAAGAAACGCAUCAAACGAUGGAUAAGGAUGCAGUGAAGAAACGCAUCAAACGAUGGAUAAGGAUGCAGUGAAGAAACGCAUCAAACGAUGGAUAAGGUUGUGGUGAAGAAACGCAGACACACCCUCGCUCUCUGGAAGUUUCCGUGACUGAGGUUUUGGGACCAACAUUGAUUUUAAAUACAAGGACAGCAGUUUUAAGGACUCAGUGUGGUGAGGACUCAUUGGAAAUAAGAAAACGUUUG
rnacentral:lncRNA from 1 species